rnacentral:rRNA from 1 species
UACGGGGGGGGCAAGCGUUGUUCGGAAUUACUGGGCGUAAAGGGCUCGUAGGUGGCCAACUAAGUCAGACGUGAAAUCCCCAGGCUCAACUUGGGAACUGCGUCUGAUACUGGAUGGCUUGAAUUCGGGAGAGGGAUGCAGAAUUCCAGGUGUAGCGGUGAAAUGCGUAGAUAUCGGGAGGAACACCAGUGGCGAAGGCGACUACCUGGCCUGUUUCUUGACGCUGAGGCGCGAAAGCUAGGGGAGCAAACGGGG